rnacentral:rRNA from 1 species
CCGCCCGUCACAUCACGAAAGUGGGCCGUACUAGAAGCUGGUGUGCUAACCGCAAGGGGGCAGCCAUCCAAGGUACAAAAAGCUCAUGAUUGGGGUG